CCUACGGGUGGCAGCAGUGAGGAAUAUUGGGCAAUGGAGGCAACUCUGACGCAGCCAUGCCGCGUGAGUGAAGAAGGAUUUCGGAUCGUAAAGCUCUAUCGGCUGUGACGAUGAUGACGGUAGCAUCUCAAGAAGCCCCGGCUAACUUCGUGCCAGCAGCCGCGGUAAUACGGAGGAUCCGAGCGUUAUCCGGAUUUAUUGGGUGUAAAGGGAGCGUAGAUGGGUUGUUAAGUCAGGUGUGAAAGUUUGCGGCUCAACCGUAAAACUGCAAUUGAUACUGGCAGGCUUGAGUACAGGUGAGGUAGGCGGAAUUCGUGGUGUAGCGGUGAAAUGCGUAGAUAUCACGAAGAACUCCGAUGGCGAAGGCAGCUUACUAAACUGCCACUGACAUUGAUGCUCGAAAGUGUGGGUAUCAAACAGGAUUAGAUACCCGUGUAGUC
rnacentral:rRNA from 1 species